GACGAACGCUGGCGGCGUGCUUAACACAUGCAAGUCGAACGGAAAGGCCCUGCUUGCAGGGUACUCGAGUGGCGAACGGGUGAGUAACACGUGGGUGAUCUGCCCUGCACUUCGGGAUAAGCCUGGGAAACUGGGUCUAAUACCGGAUAGGAGCCAUUUUUAGUGUGAUGGUUGGAAAGUUUUUUCGGUGUAGGAUGAGCUCGCGGCCUAUCAGCUUGUUGGUGGGGUAAUGGCCUACCAAGGCGGCGACGGGUAGCCGGCCUGAGAGGGUGGACGGCCACAUUGGGGCUGAGAUACGGCCCAGACUCCUACGGGGGGCAGCAGUGGGGAAUAUUGCACAAUGGGCGCAAGCCUGAUGCAGCGACGCCGCGUGGGGGAUGACGGCCUUCGGGUUGUAAACUCCUUUCGCUAGGGACGAAGCUUUUUGUGACGGUACCUAGAUAAGAAGCACCGGCUAACUACGUG
rnacentral:rRNA from 1 species